rnacentral:rRNA from 1 species
GAUGAACGCUGGCGGCGUGCCUAAUACAUGCAAGUCGAGCGAACGGACGAGAAGCUUGCUUCUCUGAUGUUAGCGGCGGACGGGUGAGUAACACGUGGAUAACCUACCUAUAAGACUGGGAUAACUUCGGGAAACCGGAGCUAAUCCCGGAUAAUAUUUUGAACCGCAUGGUUCAAAAGUGAAAGACGGUCUUGCUGUCACUUAUAGAUGGAUCCGCGCUGCAUUAGCUAGUUGGUAAGGUAACGGCUUACCAAGGCAACGAUGCAUAGCCGACCUGAGAGGGUGAUCGGCCACACUGGAACUGAGACACGGUCCAGACGCCUACGGGAGGCAGCAGUAGGGAAUCUUCCGCAAUGGGCGAAAGCCUGACGGAGCAACGCCGCGUGAGUGAUGAAGGUCUUCGGAUCGUAAAACUCUGUUAUUAGGGAAGAACAUAUGUGUAAGUAACUGUGCACAUCUUGACGGUACCUAAUCAGAAAGCCACGGCUAACUACGUG